CGGAGGGUGCAAGCGUUAUCCGGAUUCACUGGGUUUAAAGGGUGCGUAGGUGGGUUGGUAAGUCAGUGGUGAAAUCCCCGAGCUUAACUUGGGAACUGCCAUUGAUACUAUCAGUCUUGAAUAUCGUGGAGGUUAGCGGAAUAUGUCAUGUAGCGGUGAAAUGCUUAGAUAUGACAUAGAACACCAAUUGCGAAGGCAGCUGGCUACACGAAUAUUGACACUGAGGCACGAAAGCGUGGGGAUCAAACAGGAUUAGAUACCCUGGUAGUCCACGCCCUAAACUAUGGAUACUCGACAUCAGCGAUACACUGUUGGUGUCUGAGCGAAAGCAUUAAGUAUCCCACCUGGGAAGUACGAUCGCAAGAUUG
rnacentral:rRNA from 1 species